rnacentral:rRNA from 1 species
GGCGCACGGGUGCGUAACGCGUAUGCAACCUGCCUUAUACAAAGGGAUAGCCCAUGGAAACGUGGAUUAAUAUCUUAUAGGACUGAUUUUUCGCAUGGGAGAUUAGUUAAAACUACGGUGGUAUAAGAUGGGCAUGCGUCUGAUUAGGUAGUUGGUAGGGUAACGGCCUACCAAGCCGACGAUCAGUAGGGGUUCUGAGAGGAUUAUCCCCCACACUGGUACUGAGACACGGACCAGACUCCUACGGGAGGCAGCAGUGAGGAAUAUUGGUCAAUGGACGAGAGUCUGAACCAGCCAUCCCGCGUGCAGGAUGACGGCCCUAUGGGUUGUAAACUGCUUUUCUAAGCCAAGAAACCUGUCAACGUGUUGACAGCUGACGGUAGUGUAGGAAUAAGCACCGGCUAACUCCGUGCCAGCAGCCGCGGUAAUACGGAGGGUGCAAGCGUUAUCCGGAUUCAUUGGGUUUAAAGGGUGCGCAGGUGGGAAAGUAAGUCAGUGGUGAAAUACUGCCGCUUAACGGUAGAACUGCCAUUGAUACUGCUUUUCUUGAGUAUGGUUGAGGUAGGUGGAAUGUG